AAAGACCGAAUUCUUUGGUUUUCGUGUCUAACGUUUGACCGUCCGUUUUAUAUGAAAUUUUUUUUAUGAUUAGUAUUUUCAUUUUUGUUAGAUGAUAAAACAUGAAUAAUACUUUAUGCAUAACUUAUCUUUUUAAUUUUUUUUUUCAAAUAAGACGAACGGUCGAACGCUAGACACGGAAACCUAGGAAUUGAGUUUUU
rfam:Oryza glaberrima chromosome 2 Oglab02_0162_1, whole genome shotgun sequence.